GAUAAAGUGGCUGAGGUUAGGCGGUUGGUUGUAAACCAUCUUACGGGAUUAAUUUCUUUUUUAUCA
rnacentral:tRNA from 1 species